rnacentral:rRNA from 1 species
CAGGCUUAACACAUGCAAGUCGAGGGGCAGCAUUUUAGUUUGCUUGCAAACUAAAGAUGGCGACCGGCGCACGGGUGAGUAACACGUAUCCAACCUGCCGAUAACUCGGGGAUAGCCUUUCGAAAGAAAGAUUAAUAUCCGAUAGUAUAUUAAAACCGCAUGGUUUUACUAUUAAAGAAUUUCGGUUAUCGAUGGGGAUGCGUUCCAUUAGUUUGUUGGCGGGGUAACGGCCCACCAAGACUACGAUGGAUAGGGGUUCUGAGAGGAAGGUCCCCCACAUUGGAACUGAGACACGGUCCAAACUCCUACGGGAGGCAGCAGUGAGGAAUAUUGGUCAAUGGACGAGAGUCUGAACCAGCCAAGUAGCGUGAAGGAUGACUGCCCUAUGGGUUGUAAACUUCUUUUAUAUGGGAAUAAAGUAUUCCACGUGUGGAAUUUUGUAUGUACCAUAUGAAUAAGGAUCGGCUAACUCCGUGCCAGCAGCCGCGGUAAUACGGAGGAUCCGAGCGUUAUCCGGAUUUAUUGGGUUUAAAGGGAGCGUAGGUGGAUUGUUAAGUCAGUUGUGAAAGUUUGCGGCUCAACCGUAAAAUUGCAGUUGAAACUGGCAGUCUUGAGUACAGUAGAGGUGGGCGGAAUUCGUGGUGUAGCGGUGAAAUGCUUAGAUAUCACGAAGAACUCCGAUUGCGAAGGCAGCUCACUAGACUGCAACUGACACUGAUGCUCGAAAGUGUGGGUAUCAAACAGGAUUAGAUACCCUGGUAGUCCACACAGUAAACGAUGAAUACUCGCUGUUUGCGAUAUACAGUAAGCGGCCAAGCGAAAGCAUUAAGUAUUCCACCUGGGGAGUACGCCGGCAACGGUGAAACUCAAAGGAAUUGACGGGGGCCCGCACAAGCGGAGGAACAUGUGGUUUAAUUCGAUGAUACGCGAGGAACCUUACCCGGGCUUAAAUUGCAUUUGAAUAAUCUGGAAACAGGUUAGCCGCAAGGCAAAUGUGAAGGUGCUGCAUGGUUGUCGUCAGCUCGUGCCGUGAAGUGUCGGCUUAAGUGCCAUAACGAGCGCAACCCUUAUCUUUAGUUACUAACAGGUCAUGCUGAGGACUCUAGAGAGACUGCCGUCGUAAGAUGUGAGGAAGGUGGGGAUGACGUCAAAUCAGCACGGCCCUUACGUCCGGGGCUACACACGUGUUACAAUGGGGGGUACAGAAGGCAGCUACCUGGCGACAGGAUGCUAAUCCCAAAAACCUCUCUCAGUUCGGAUCGAAGUCUGCAACCCGACUUCGUGAAGCUGGAUUCGCUAGUAAUCGCGCAUCAGCCAUGGCGCGGUGAAUACGUUCCCGGGCCUUGUACACACCGCCCGUCAAGCCAUGAAAGCCGGGGGUACCUGAAGUACGUAACCGCAAGGAGCGUCCUAGGGUAAAACUGGUAAUUGGGGCUAAGUCG